GAUGAACGCUGGCGGCGUGCCUAAUACAUGCAAGUCGAGCGAACGGACGAGAAGCUUGCUUCUCUGAUGUUAGCGGCGGACGGGUGAGUAACACGUGGAUAACCUACCUAUAAGACUGGUAUAACUUCGGGAAACCGUAGCUAAUACCGGAUAAUAUUUUGAACCGCAUGGUUCAAAAGUGAAAGACGGUCUUGCUGUCACUUAUAGAUGGAUCCGCGCUGCAUUAGCUAGUUGGUAAGGUAACGGCUUACCAAGGCAACGAUGCAUAGCCGACCUGAGAGGGUGAUCGGCCACACUGGAACUGAGACACGGUCCAGACUCCUACGGGAGGCAGCAGUAGGGAAUCUUCCGCAAUGGGCGAAAGCCUGACGGAGCAACGCCGCGUGAGUGAUGAAGGUCUUCGGAUCGUAAAACUCUGUUAUUAGGGAAGAACAUAUGUGUAAGUAACUGUGCACAUCUUGACGGUACCUAAUCAGAAAGCCACGGCUAACUACGUGC
rnacentral:rRNA from 1 species